rnacentral:rRNA from 1 species
UGGGGAAUAUUGGACAAUGGGCGAAAGCCUGAUCCAGCAAUGCCGCGUGAGUGAUGAAGGCCUUCGGGUUGUAAAGCUCUGUCGGGAGGGACGAAAAAACAGCUUAACAAACUGUAUUGACGGUACCUCCAAAGGAAGCACCGGCUAACUCUGUGCCAGCAGCCGCGGUAAUACAGAGGGUGCAAGCGUUGUUCGGAAUUACUGGGCGUAAAGCGCGUGUAGGUGGCGAGAUAAGUCGGGUGUGAAAUCCCUUGGCUUAACCAAGGAAGUGCAUUCGAUACUGUUUCGCUUGAGUAUCGGAGGGGUCGGCGGAAUUCCCGGUGUAGAGGUGAAAUUCGUAGAUAUCGGGAGGAACACCUGUGGCGAAGGCGGCCGACUGGACGAUCACUGACACUGAGACGCGAAAGCGUGGGUAGCAAACAG